UCAAGGUGAUGAUGCUUGAGAAUGGUUUCGCUUCGUUGGCUGAUACUUGGUGAUGCCAUGAUUCUCUUGCCUAUCUGAUUAA
ensembl:snoRNA